AUCCUUGGACUUCAGCCGCUGUCCUGUAACCAGAGAAUGCUCAGGAAUCUUGGCGCUGGGUAAACAAAAACAAAACAAAAAAGUACUGGAGCCAUCCUGCUCCCAAACUGAAUGUCUCCUCUCUACACACUUCUGUUAGGAUUCUUCCAGGCUCUGCACCAUGAAGAUGCCAGCAGCAGGUAUUUGGACACAGGGUCUCAAAAGGACAGGAUGAGGCUCAGACAUGCUCACGCCUCAUACAUCAAAACAGCUGAAGGGUUCCUGUUACACAGCUGGUUUGAAUUUGCCUGUGUUGAACUGCCUGCCUGAAUGUUUCAGCAUACUCUCAUUGUCACCUGAUUCACAUGUAACACCAAGCCAUACCAUGAACAAACGUGCUGGCUCCCAGGGAAAAGAUUGCACCUCCUGUCUUGCCACUACUGCACUGUUGUGAGGAUUUGACCUUCAGCUGAAGCUUAUCCACCAAGUCCUGUAGCCUUAUCACAUUCUUCCUGUCCUCUUCGCCCUAGAAAAGUGGCACCUGAUUAGGUGAUACGUGAGCACUAGUGUCUUGCUCUUUCUUCAGCUCCUCUGCCAUCAUGGCCGCCUUGACAUACAAACAGUAGACUCCAGUCAACAAGUACACUCGGCGCAAAGGGCAGAAGCUCAGCAGAGUUUGAAAGAUCAACUUGUGACCACCAGAAAUGGCCUGCUGGGACCACCUCAAUAACAAAGGUGACUGGUCAUCUGCUGCCCAGGGUGCCAGGUGCAAACAAAGGAAGGACCAGCCAAAUGCAAGAUGACAGCAAUAGGAAGGAGCGUGACACGAGGCAAAACAGCCCCAAAGCAGAAAAAGGCAGCUCAUGAACAGCCCGAGAUGGAUGUGAAGGGCAGCAGGAUUCGAAUGCCUUCAAGCACUCCAUUACACCGUAGCUGGUGCAGAACAAGCCUGUGAUCCAUUGCACCUGUGGAAGAGAAAACCUAAA